rnacentral:rRNA from 1 species
CGCAAUGGGGGAAACCCUGACGCAGCGACGCCGCGUGUAGGAAGAAGGCCUUCGGGUCGUAAACUACUGUCAAGAGGGAAGAAACCGUAGGGCAAUAAUAAGGCUCUGCGCUGACGGUACCUCUAGAGGAAGCACCGGCUAACUCCGUGCCAGCAGCCGCGGUAAUACGGAGGGUGCGAGCGUUAAUCGGAAUCACUGGGCGUAAAGCGUGCGUAGGCGGCGUAUCAAGUCAGGCGUGAAAGCCCUCGGCUCAACCGGGGAAUUGCGCUUGAAACUGGUAUGCUAGAGUCUCGGAGAGGUUGGCGGAAUUCCAGGUGUAGGAGUGAAAUCCGUAGAUAUCUGGAGGAACACCGGUGGCGAAGGCGGCCAACUGGACGAGUACUGACGCUGAGGUACGAAAGCGUGGGUAGCAAACAGGAUUAGAUACCCUGGUAGUCCACGCUGUAAACGAUGGAUAUUAGGUGUCGGGGUUUUACUUCGGUGCCGCAGUUAACGCGUUAAAUAUCCCGCCUGGG